rnacentral:rRNA from 1 species
CCUACGGGUGGCUGCAGUGGGGGAUAUUGGACAAUGGGGGAAACCCUGAUCCAGCGACGCCGCGUGAGUGAAGAAGUAUUUCGGUAUGUAAAGCUCUGUCAGCAGGGAAGAAAGAAAUGACGGUACCUGACCAAGAAGCCCCGGCUAACUACGUGCCAGCAGCCGCGGUAAUACGUAGGGGCCAAGCGUUAUCCGGAAUUACUGGGUGUAAAGGGAGCGUAGACGGUGAUGCAAGUCUGGAGUGAAAGGCGGGGGCCCAACCCCCGGACUGCUCUGGAAACUGUGUAACUUGAGUGCAGGGGAGGUAGGCGGAAUGCGUAGUGUAGCGGUGAAAUGCAUAGAUAUUAGGCAGAACACCGGUUGCGAAGGCAGCUUACUGUACUGUGACUGACGUUGAGGCACGAAAGCGUGGGGAGCAAACAGGAUUAGAUACCCCAGUAGUC